CUUCCAGCUCCCCAAGCAGCCCGUGCCCUGAACACCUCUCUGUCCUCAAAGUCUCUCAAUGCCAAGAAGGCCAAGAAGGCCAAGAAGGCCAAGAA
rnacentral:ribozyme from 1 species